UUGGGUUUUCCCACACUGCCAACACUGAGGGAACACCAGCAAAAAGUCAGGGAUUGGAUGGAGAAGCCUCCAAGCUUCCUGCUGAAGACCUGAGCCAGCUAAACCCGUGGGAAUUCCAAGGGAUUUGGUUCAGUGCUGCCCCUCUGAGCGCCUGGUCACGCUCCAAAUGGAAGGAAAUCUGGAAAGGGAGGCAACCAGAUGGAAAGAUUUACCUGUGGCUGCAAAACUUGGGCACAAGGAGAGCCCUGGAGCCCAAAUCCCAUCCCAGAGCUGCUCAUCCCUGUGGCUGUGCAGGUUUUCCAGCCAAUUUCCCAUUCCUUUUCCCAUGUGCCUUUUUUUCCUGUGCCAGCUCAAAGCUCCUCUCUCUGCCUUUUGCUGAUGGGGUCGAAAAUAAUCACAAUAAUCUGA